GACGAAGGUGGCGAGCGUUGUUCGGAAUCACUGGGCAUAAAGCGCACGUAGGCGGCGACGUAAGUUGGGUGUGAAAUCCCUCGGCCCAACCGAGGAACUGCGCCCAGUACUGCGUUGCUUGAGGAUCCAAGGGGUGCAUGGAAUUCCCGGUGGAGCGGUGAAAUGCGUUGAUAUCUGGAAGAACACCAAUGGCGAAGGCAAUGUUCUGGCUCGUUUCUGACGCUCAGGUGCGAAAGCCAGGGGAGCGAACGGG
rnacentral:rRNA from 1 species